rnacentral:tRNA from 1 species
GGAGGUAUAGUUCAAGUGGUAGAGCACAUGCUUAGCAUGCACAGGGUCCAGGAUUCAAUUUCCUGUACCUCCA